CUGGUGUUAGUAUAUAAGUGCCGACAGACUUGAAGAGCUUAUCACUUGUGAAAACUCGUGCAACUCAAAUCAUUACAAUGUUCUUCAGAGUGUUCUUGCUCUUCGCCCUUGUGGCUGCCGCUUUCGCAAGCCCCAAACCUGAGCCACAGGUCUUCGGCUAUGCUGCUCCUGCAGUGUCUUAUGGCUACACCGGCUACACUGGAUAUACUCCCUAUGCCUACUCUGCACCCUAUGCACCCUAUGCUUACUCCUCGGGCUACUACGUUCGUUAAUUCGACGUGUGAUCCUUAUAACGACUGUACGCAUUGCUAAAACAACAUGAAACCGAUA